rnacentral:rRNA from 1 species
AAUCAACGCUGGCGGCGAGCCUAACACAUGCAAGUCGCACGAGAAAGGGGAGCAAUCCCUGAGUAAAGUGGCGCACGGGUGAGUAACACGUGACUAACCUACCCUCGAAUGGGGAAUAACCUAGAGAAAUCUGGGCUAAUACCGCAUAACACUUACGAGUCAAAGCAGCAAUGCGCUUGAGGAGGGGGCCGCGGCAGAUUAGCUAGUUGGCGGGGUGAUGGCCCACCAAGGCAAUGAUCUGUAUCCGGCCUGAGAGGGCGCACGGACACACUGGAACUGAAACACGGUCCAGACUCCUACGGGAGGCAGCAGUGGGGAAUUUUGCGCAAUGGGGGAAACCCUGACGCAGCAACGCCGCGUGGAGGAUGAAAUCCCUUGGGAUGUAAACUCCUUUCGAUAGGGAAGAUAAUGACGGUACCUAUAGAAGAAGCCCCGGCUAACUUCGUGCCA